AGGCCAUACCACGUUGAAACACCGGAUCUCGUACGAUCAGAAAAGUUAAGCAACGUUGUGCCUGGUCAGUAACUGGAUGGGUGACCACUUUGGAAUGCCGGGUGUUGUAAG